rnacentral:rRNA from 1 species
GGCAGCAGCUAAGAAUAUUCCGCAAUGCACGAAAGUGUGACGGAGCGACGCCGCGUGGACGAUGAAGGCCGGAAGGUUGUAAAGUCCUUUUAUGACUGAGGAAUAAGGAAGAUGAGAGAAACGUUUUCCGGUGACUGUAGGUCAAGAAUAAGAGGCGGCUAAUUACGUGCCAGCAGCCGCGGUAACACGUAAGCCUCGAGCGUUGUUCGGAAUUAUUGGGCGUAAAGGGCAUGUAGGCGGUCAUGCAAGCUUGGUGUGAAAGGCGGGAGCUCAACUCCCGGACUGCGUUGAGAACUGCAAGACUGGAGUCACUGAGGGGCAAUCAGAAUUCCUGGUGUAGGGGUGAAAUCUGUAGAUAUCAGGAAGAAUACCAAUGGCGAAGGCAGGUUGCCAGCAGACGACUGACGCUGAGGUGCGAAGGUGCGGGGAGCAAACAGGAUUAGAUACCCUGGUAGUCCGCACAGUCAACUAUGUGCACUGGAUGUCUGGACGAUAGUCUGGGUGUCGAAGCAAACGCGAUAAGUGCACCGCCUGGGGAGUAUGCCCGCAAGGGUGAAACUCAAAGGAAUUGACGG